rnacentral:rRNA from 1 species
GACGGAGGAUGCAAGCGUUAUCCGGAAUGAUUGGGCGUAAAGCGUCUGCAGGUGGCAGUUCAAGUCUGCUGUCAAAGACCGGGCUUAACUUCGGAAAGGCAGUGGAAACUGAACAGCUAGAGUAUGGUAGGGGCAGAGGGAAUUCCUGGUGUAGCGGUGAAAUGCGCAGAUAUCAGGAGGAACACCAAUGGCGAAGGCAGCUCGCUGGAACGGUACUGACGCUGAGGCGCGAAAGCGUGGGGAGCAAACAGG